rnacentral:rRNA from 1 species
AACGAACGCUGGCGGCGCGCCUAAUACAUGCAAGUCGAGCGAGAAGACGUAGCAAUACGUUUGUAAAGCGGCGAACGGGUGAGGAAUACAUGGGUAACCUACCCUCGAGUGGGGAAUAACUAGCCGAAAGGUUAGCUAAUACCGCGUACGCUCCUUGGACUUCGGUUCAGGGAGGAAAGCGAUACCGUGGGUAUCGCGCUCUUGGAUGGGCUCAUGUCCUAUCAGCUUGUUGGUGAGGAACGGCUCACCAAGGCUUCGACGGGUAGCUGGUCUGAGAGGACGAUCAGCCACACUGGCACUGCGACACGGGCCAGACUCCUACGGGAGGCAGCAGUAAGGAAUAUUGCGCAAUGGGCGAAAGCCUGACGCAGCGACGCCGCGUGGGGGAGUGAAGGUCUUCGGUA